rnacentral:rRNA from 1 species
UACGAAGGGGGCUAGCGUUGUUCGGAAUUACUGGGCGUAAAGCGUGCGCAGGCGGCUUCUCAAGUCAGGGGUGAAAGCCCAGAGCUCAACUCUGGAAUUGCCUUUGAGACUGAGAGGCUUGAGUACGGGAGAGGUGAGUGGAAUUCCCAGUGUAGAGGUGAAAUUCGUAGAUAUUGGGAAGAACACCGGUGGCGAAGGCGGCUCACUGGCUCAUUACUGACGCUCAGGCGCGACAGCGUGGGGAUCAAACAGG